GGGUUGUGAGGUUAAGCGACUAAGCGUACACGGUGGAUGCCCUGGCAGUCAGAGGCGAUGAAGGACGUGCUAAUCUGCGAAAAGCGUCGGUAAGGUGAUAUGAACCGUUAUAACCGGCGAUGUCCGAAUGGGGAAACCCAGUGCAAUUCGUUGCACUAUCGUUAACUGAAUACAUAGGUUAACGAGGCGAACCGGGGGAACUGAAACAUCUAAGUACCCCGAGGAAAAGAAAUCAACCGAGAUUCCCCCAGUAGCGGCGAGCGAACGGGGAGCAGCCCAGAGUCUGAAUCAGCUUGUGUGUUAGUGGAACGGUCUGGAAAGUCCGACGGUACAGGGUGAUAGUCCCGUACACCAAAAUGCACAGGCUGUGAACUCGAAGAGUAGGGCGGGACACGUGGUAUCCUGUCUGAAUAUGGGGGGACCAUCCUCCAAGGCUAAAUACUCCUGACUGACCGAUAGUGAACCAGUACCGUGAGGGAAAGGCGAAAAGAACCCCGGCGAGGGGAGUGAAAAAGAACCUGAAACCGUGUACGUACAAGCAGUGGGAGCACCUUCGGGUGUGACUGCGUACCUUUUGUAUAAUGGGUCAGCGACUUAUAUUCUGUAGCAAGGUUAACCGUAUAGGGGAGCCGCAGGGAAACCGAGUCUUAACUGGGCGUUAAGUUGCAGGGUAUAGACCCGAAACCCGGUGAUCUAGCCAUGGGCAGGUUGAAGGUUGGGUAACACUAACUGGAGGACCGAACCGACUAAUGUUGAAAAAUUAGCGGAUGACUUGUGGCUGGGGGUGAAAGGCCAAUCAAACCGGGAGAUAGCUGGUUCUCCCCGAAAGCUAUUUAGGUAGCGCCUCGUGAACUCAUCUUCGGGGGUAGAGCACUGUUUCGGCUAGGGGGUCAUCCCGACUUACCAACCCGAUGCAAACUACGAAUACCGAAGAAUGUUAUCACGGGAGACACACGGCGGGUGCUAACGUCCGUCGUGAAGAGGGAAACAACCCAGACCGCCAGCUAAGGUCCCAAAGUCAUGGUUAAGUGGGAAACGAUGUGGGAAGGCACAGACAGCCAGGAUGUUGGCUUAGAAGCAGCCAUCAUUUAAAGAAAGCGUAAUAGCUCACUGGUCGAGUCGGCCUGCGCGGAAGAUGUAACGGGGCUAAACCAUGCACCGAAGCUGCGGCAGCGACACUAUGUGUUGUUGGGUAGGGGAGCGUUCUGUAAGCCUGCGAAGGUGACCUGUGAGGGUUGCUGGAGGUAUCAGAAGUGCGAAUGCUGACAUAAGUAACGAUAAAGCGGGUGAAAAGCCCGCUCGCCGGAAGACCAAGGGUUCCUGUCCAACGUUAAUCGGGGCAGGGUGAGUCGACCCCUAAGGCGAGGCCGAAAGGCGUAGUCGAUGGGAAACAGGUUAAUAUUCCUGUACUUGGUGUUACUGCGAAGGGGGGACGGAGAAGGCUAUGUUAGCCGGGCGACGGUUGUCCCGGUUUAAGCAUGUAGGCUGAUUGUCCAGGCAAAUCCGGAUAAUCAAGGCUGAGGUGUGAUGACGAGGCACUACGGUGCUGAAGUAACAAAUGCCCUGCUUCCAGGAAAAGCCUCUAAGCAUCAGGUAACAUUAAAUCGUACCCCAAACCGACACAGGUGGUCAGGUAGAGAAUACCAAGGCGCUUGAGAGAACUCGGGUGAAGGAACUAGGCAAAAUGGUGCCGUAACUUCGGGAGAAGGCACGCUGGUGUGUAGGUGAAGUCCCUGCGGAUGGAGCUGAGACCAGUCGAAGAUACCAGCUGGCUGCAACUGUUUAUUAAAAACACAGCACUGUGCAAACACGAAAGUGGACGUAUACGGUGUGACGCCUGCCCGGUGCCGGAAGGUUAAUUGAUGGGGUUAUCCGUAAGGAGAAGCUCUUGAUCGAAGCCCCGGUAAACGGCGGCCGUAACUAUAACGGUCCUAAGGUAGCGAAAUUCCUUGUCGGGUAAGUUCCGACCUGCACGAAUGGCGUAAUGAUGGCCAGGCUGUCUCCACCCGAGACUCAGUGAAAUUGAACUCGCUGUGAAGAUGCAGUGUACCCGCGGCAAGACGGAAAGACCCCGUGAACCUUUACUAUAGCUUGACACUGAACAUUGAGCCUUGAUGUGUAGGAUAGGUGGGAGGCUUUGAAGCGUGGACGCCAGUCUGCGUGGAGCCAACCUUGAAAUACCACCCUUUAAUGUUUGAUGUUCUAACGUUGGCCCCUGACCGGGGUUGCGGACAGUGUCUGGUGGGUAGUUUGACUGGGGCGGUCUCCUCCCAAAGCGUAACGGAGGAGCACGAAGGUUAGCUAAUCCUGGUCGGACAUCAGGAGGUUAGUGCAAUGGCAUAAGCUAGCUUGACUGCGAGCGUGACGGCGCGAGCAGGUGCGAAAGCAGGUCAUAGUGAUCCGGUGGUUCUGAAUGGAAGGGCCAUCGCUCAACGGAUAAAAGGUACUCCGGGGAUAACAGGCUGAUACCGCCCAAGAGUUCAUAUCGACGGCGGUGUUUGGCACCUCGAUGUCGGCUCAUCACAUCCUGGGGCUGAAGUAGGUCCCAAGGGUAUGGCUGUUCGCCAUUUAAAGUGGUACGCGAGCUGGGUUUAGAACGUCGUGAGACAGUUCGGUCCCUAUCUGCCGUGGGCGCUGGAGAAUUGAGGGGGGCUGCUCCUAGUACGAGAGGACCGGAGUGGACGCAUCACUGGUGUUCGGGUUGUCAUGCCAAUGGCACUGCCCGGUAGCUAAAUGCGGAAGAGAUAAGUGCUGAAAGCAUCUAAGCACGAAACUUGCCCCGAGAUGAGUUCUCCCUGAGACUAUAAGUCUCCUGAAGGAACGUUAAAGACGAUGACGUUGAUAGGCCGGGUGUGUAAGCGCAGCGAUGCGUUGAGCUAACCGGUACUAAUGAACCGUGAGGCUUAACCUUACAACGCCGAAG
rnacentral:rRNA from 1 species